UACGUAGGGGGCAAGCGUUAUCCGGAUUUACUGGGUGUAAAGGGAGCGUAGACGGCAGCGCAAGUCUGAAGUGAAAUGCCAGGGCUUAACCCUGGAACUGCUUUGGAAACUGUGCAGCUAGCGUGCAGGAGAGGUAAGUGGAAUUUCUAGUGUAGCGGUGAAAUGCGUAGAUAUUAGGAGGAACACCAGUGGCGAAGGCGGCUUACUGGACUGUAACUGACACUGAGGCUCGAAAGCGUGGGGAGCAAACAGG
rnacentral:rRNA from 1 species